AGUGAACGCUGGCGGUAGGCCUAACACAUGCAAGUCGAACGGCAGCACAGUAAGAGCUUGCUCUUACGGGUGGCGAGUGGCGGACGGGUGAGGAAUACAUCGGAAUCUACUUUUUCGUGGGGGAUAACGUAGGGAAACUUACGCUAAUACCGCAUACGACCUACGGGUGAAAGCAGGGGAUCUUCGGACCUUGCGCGAUUGAAUGAGCCGAUGUCGGAUUAGCUAGUUGGCGGGGUAAAGGCCCACCAAGGCGACGAUCCGUAGCUGGUCUGAGAGGAUGAACCGCCACUGGAGAUGAGACACGCGCCAGAGACCUACGGGAGGGAGCAGAGUGGAAUAUUGGGCAAUAGGGGCGAACGUGAGACAGAGAUAUCGCGUGUGUGAGAAGAACGCUCGGGUGGUGAAGAGCUCUUUUGGGGGGAAAAAAGAGGAAGGUGUUAACACCGCGGUGUUGACGGUAGACAAAAAAUAAGCACCGGCUAACUCCGUG
rnacentral:rRNA from 1 species